GAUGAACGCUGGCGGCGUGCCUAAUACAUGCAAGUCGAGCGAACAGACGAGGAGCUUGCUCCUCUGACGUUAGCGGCGGACGGGUGAGUAACACGUGGAUAACCUACCUAUAAGACUGGGAUAACUUCGGGAAACCGGAGCUAAUACCGGAUAAUAUAUUGAACCGCAUGGUUCAAUAGUGAAAGACGGUUUUGCUGUCACUUAUAGAUGGAUCCGCGCCGCAUUAGCUAGUUGGUAAGGUAACGGCUUACCAAGGCAACGAUGCGUAGCCGACCUGAGAGGGUGAUCGGCCACACUGGAACUGAGACAAGGUCCAGACUCCUACGGGAGGCAGCAGUAGGGAAUCUUCCGCAAUGGGCGAAAGCCUGACGGAGCAACGCCGCGUGAGUGAUGAAGGUCUUCGGAUCGUAAAACUCUGUUAUUAGGGAAGAACAAAUGUGUAAGUAACUAUGCACGUCUUGACGGUACCUAAUCAGAAAGCUACGGCUAACUACGUG
rnacentral:rRNA from 1 species